rnacentral:rRNA from 1 species
CCCUUAGAUGUUCUGGGCUGCACGCGUGCUACACUGAUUAUUUCAACAAGUGUUUUAACUGGAGAGUUUGCGUAAUCCUGAAAUGUUAUCGUGAUGGGAGUAGAGUAUUGUAUUUGUUAAUCUUUAACGAGGAAUUCCUAGUAAGUGUAGGUUUAUAAGUUGUUCUGAUUACGUCCCUGCCCUUUGUACACACCGCCCGUCGCUCCUACCGAUUGAUUGAUCCGGUGAAUUACAUAGAAUUUUGCGUUUUACAUGGCGGAAGACGAAGUGUUUUAAACCUUAUCAUUUAGAGGAAGGAGAAGUCGUAACA